CCUACGGGGCGCAGCAGUGAGGAAUAUUGGUCAAUGGCCGUAAGGCUGAACCAGCCAAGUAGCGUGAGGGAAGACUGCCCUAUGGGUUGUAAACCUCUUUUAUGCGGGGAUAAAGGUGUCCACGUGUGGAUGUUUGCAGGUACCGCAUGAAUAAGGACCGGCUAAUUCCGUGCCAGCAGCCGCGGUAAUACGGAAGGUCCGGGCGUUAUCCGGAUUUAUUGGGUUUAAAGGGAGCGUAGGCCGGUCUUUAAGCGUGCCGGGAAAUUUUGUGGAUCAACCAUGAGAGUGCGGCGCGAACUGGAGACCUUGAGGGCGCGGAAGGCAGGCGGAAUUCGUGGUGUAGCGGUGAAAUGCUUAGAUAUCACGAAGAACCCCGAUUGCGAAGGCAGCCUGCCGCAGCGUUACUGACGCUGAAGCUCGAAAGCGCGGGUAUCGAACAGGAUUAGAUACCCGGGUAGUC
rnacentral:rRNA from 1 species